rnacentral:ribozyme from 1 species
UUUUUUUUUUUUUUUUUGUUUUCCCCUUUUUUGUCGUCAUUUGUAUGAG